UGAUUCCUACGGGAGGCAGCAGUAAGGAAUAUUGGUCAAUGGACGCAAGUCUGAACCAGCCAUGCCGCGUGGAGGAUUAAGGCCCUCUGGGUUGUAAACUCCUUUUAUUUGGGAAGAAAUCCAUACAUUCUUGUGUGGUUGACGGUACCAGAAGAAUAAGCACCGGCUAUCUCCGUG
rnacentral:rRNA from 1 species